UUACGGCCAUAUCACGUUGAAACCCCGGUUGCCGUAUGAUCAUCGAAGUUAAGCAAUGUCCCGCCUUGUCAGUACCUAGAUGCAUGACCGCUUGAGAAUAUCAUCUGCUGUA